UACGUAGGGUGCGAGCGUUGUCCGGAAUUAUUGGGCGUAAAGAGCUUGUAGGCGGUUUGUCGCGUCUGCCGUGAAAAUCCGGGGCUCAACCCCGGACUUGCGGUGGGUACGGGCAGACUAGAGUGUGGUAGGGGAGACUGGAAUUCCUGGUGUAGCGGUGAAAUGCGCAGAUAUCAGGAGGAACACCGAUGGCGAAGGCAGGUCUCUGGGCCGCUACUGACGCUGAGAAGCGAAAGCGUGGGGAGCGAACAGG
rnacentral:rRNA from 1 species